rnacentral:lncRNA from 1 species
GGCCCUGCCUGUGUCACCUGCACAGCAUCCUGGGGAGACUUCGCCUGUGGGUCAUGAGCCUUUCCACAGUGAGGUGGAGCAUGAAGACCUCCAUGGGUGACAGGCCUUGCAAGCGCUGUGUUCGAGACAGACCUGUGUAUGUCCUUGAAUCACUUGUCACGCUGGGGAUGAAAGUCCAGGAUCUCAGAGGUCAACCCCGGAAGGAGCCAUCGACAGCUGCCAGCCCAGCCUCCAGGUCUUGAACCCCACAGGCCCAUUGCGCACCCCACGUUCCCAGCACCCCACCCUGUGCUGAUGGACCCGGUGGCUAGCUGAUCCUGCCACUCAGCCUGGCUACCACCUCUGCCCAUCUAACCUGCUUGCCUGGGAGCCCCUGUGCCUGCCACGUGUGGCCUGGGCAGCGAUCCCAUGCCCUCUCGAGCUGCCCUCUCUGUCCUCUGUCCCCUGCCUGGGUGUGUGACACCACAGCCAGGUGCCUCUCUAUCUUCCACUGGGCUCUUAGCUGAGGGUCUCGCCCCUCUGUUUUCUCAAAAGAGGGCAUAUUGUUACUCAGGCAGCUAUGAAACACUUCAGUGCUCCUGGAAAAUGCCAAG